CAGCACACCAACGGGAAGGCAUAAAGGGGGUGGGAGACGGGCCUUGAAGGACUGGUAGUUUGGAGCAGAAUGGAGGUUGGCACUUCAGGCCCAGGUGUGGAGGGAGGAAUCAAACGGACAUGCCUGCGGGAGGGCAGGAAGACAAGGCAAGACUGACAGGGAGGAGAAGUUGGGGAAGGGAGCCGCACAAAAUGACAUGGCAGAGGAGGUGCAGGGGCAUGACGUGGAGACCUGGGGAAGCCUGGCAGAGGCUGGUACCUCGGAUGAACGGUCAGGGGUACCUUGGAUGAGUCCUCUUGCCCAUGCAGCUGCCCCCGGAAGCCCACCCUUACCUGCUGCCAUAGUUCCCCACAGCUUCAGCUGGCAGAGCUGCGUGAGACUCUGGGCACCAGAAUAGCAAGCAGGCCCGGAGGCAGCCAGCACCAGGAAUCGAGGAAGGGAGUUCCAGAUGGAAGCAGCAGAGUGUAAAGAUGCUUGACUGCAGGCCAGCCCCAGGGCGGGGGAGAGGUGCGGGGGCUUGGAAUGCCCUAAAAGGUUCCAGACCAGUGGAGAAAGGCUGCUAGGAAAGGCUGAGAGCAUCGGCACGCAGACCCAAAGGAACGUCUGGUAUUCAGCGUCUAUGUUAAUAAGAUUUGGGGACCUUCGGACUCCCCAGAAUUGAAAUCACCUUCACCCUAAAAUUCUCAUGUCCACCCUCCAGCCUCCUGCCAAGACUACCAAAGCAGUGUUUCUUGAACAGAGAUGAAAAUCUGCCACAACUCUUGCAGGUCAUUUGUUCAAGACCUCCUAAUACUUCUAUUUCCUUCUAUGCAAUUUUGAGAAGGGUGGAAAAUUCAACUUCAGAUUUUUCUGGACAACCAGAAGGAAACAGAUAAAUACAGAGGAAAUGACUUACAUCAACAAAAUGCACAGACAGAACAGAAAGAAAUUCUCAGGAGUCUGAGAGGGUGAGAGGUACAGACCAUACUCUCAAAAGCAAGUCUCGGUUUUCUUCUGUGGAAGAAGCAACCAUAUUGGGCCUCAGGUUCCUCAUCUAUAAAAUGGGGAGACCAUUGUCUGCCUUGCCUCAUUGAUAUCACAGAGAGUAAAGCCCAUGUGAGAUGCUAAAGACCUUGACAUGUCGAAAGGACCCUUCACCUUUAGAUCAUCUUCUGGAAGCACUAGAUGGUAAAUGGGGCCAGAGCCAUCUGUAACAUGCUACCAGACUGUGCUUAUCUUUUCGGCUGCCAACACUCUUCCUGCUUUCAGAUGACAACCUACUUCCUUCCCGCCAAAGGAACCGUGACUUGAGCACUCCCAGGACUUGGUGAUCCCAAGCAUUCCAAGUCCACUUCCCACCAGCCUCCAUCGGAGCUCCUAGGUAGCAGUGCAGACACACUCCUCUCGGAGGCGGGGACCAGCCACAUGCCCAAAUGGAAGUGAAGAAAGAUCACUUCUGACCGGCUUAGGGCCAGGGAAGCCUGAAGCACCAUCUCAACCUGUGGGUUUCAACUGAGGCUCCAGGGGAUCCCGGAGUUCCAAUGAGGUGUUUCAGAGGGUGACUGGGGGUAGGCCAGGACUAGUUUUGGGUAUCUCACCCCUGCCUCAACCACAGCAGACCUGAUGUUAUUGGUCUUAUAUAUUGGGGUUCCGUAUAUGCUUUUGUUUACAAAGCGGGUCUUGUGGUUCUAAAAAUGUUUAUAAAACAUCCUUCUGCACUAAUGUAUUUUAUAGCUAAAGAAACCAAAGCCUAGAGAGGAAAAAUUAAUUGUACUCAAGACUUCUUUAGAAUCAGAUACCAAAUCCAAGAGAAGAAUUCUAUUGAAAAAGUACCCAUGCUAAAUAAAAAGUAGCCACAUUGACCCCAAACUAAUGUAACACGCCCAUACAGACCAUCUAACCUUAUAUUCUUGUUGUGUUUUCAGCUCUCCCCAUACCCUCAAUUCCUAAGUACUUCCAGGACAGUUAGAGAUGCUAUUUAGGAAAAUGUCCCCUGUGUGUCCUCACUCUAGGGCACUACAGACCCUCCCAUCAGCGCUGCUUUAGUCUUCCUCCAUUGUUACUGUAUCAUUGGUCGAUCUAGACUAUGAGCCGCUUGAGGGCAGGGGCCAGGUCUAAUUCCAUAAGUCUGUGCAGUCUCCACGGUAAACACAAUGCCAAUAACUCGGGAGAAGCUCAAUAGAUGGUUCCUGAAUGAAUGAAUGAAGAUACUUCUCCUGCACGGACAUAAUCCCCGGUCUCUCUCCUCUAAAACUUCAACUCUGUUCCAGUCCCCACCUCUCCUUCUGAGCCGUCAGUCCACCACUGAGCCCCGUGCCCCCAGGAGGCUGACCUCAUUCUUAACUCGAGAUAGGAAAUGUACCAGACGAGAAGCUGCAGAACAGUGCCAGCAAAUUCAGAUUCCCUGGACAAUGCUGAGUGCCCGAGGCUGCGCCUGGACGCAGGGUGCACGGUUCAGCUCUGACCCUGGAUCGCAGAGCUUAACCCUGGUGUCUCUAUCAGAACCUUAAAAAGACAGAGCAGUCCUAAUAAAUCUCAGAUAGUUGAGCUAUAUGGGUUCAAACCACAAAACUAAAUUUUAAGAAAAAACUGUUGACUAAAGAUAUUACGUAGAGGCUGUCUUCCCUUCCUAAUUUCAUCCUGCCUGGCUUUUAUGAAAUACUCUUUCCAAGGAUACCUUGGACUUCUAUUGAAUUUGAGUUUUCAGAUCCUCUCACAGCAGGAAACAAG
ensembl:lncRNA